rnacentral:rRNA from 1 species
CCCUUAGACGUUCUGGGCCGCACGCGCGCUACACUGACCAGUGCAACAAGCAUCCGUCCUUGGCCGACAGGCCCGGGCAAUCUUUGAACGCUGGUCGUGAUGGGGAUAGACUUUUGCAAUUUUUGGUCUUCAACGAGGAAUUCCUAGUAAACGCAAGUCAUCAACUUGCAUUGAUUACGUCCCUGCCCUUUGUACACACCGCCCGUCGCACCUACCGAUUGAAUGGUCCGGUGAAGCCUCCGGAUUGGCGCGCACCUCGGUGCCGCCGAGAAGUUGGCUAAACCUUNCNAUUUAUNGGAAGGUGAANUCGUANCA